rnacentral:rRNA from 1 species
CUCACCAAGGCGACGAUCCGUAACUGGUCUGAGAGGAUGAUCAGUCACACUGGAACUGAGACACGGUCCAGACUCCUACGGGAGGCAGCAGUGGGGAAUAUUGGACAAUGGGCGAAAGCCUGAUCCAGCCAUGCCGCGUGUGUGAAGAAGGUCUUCGGAUUGUAAAGCACUUUAAGUUGGGAGGAAGGGCAGUAAGCGAAUACCUUGCUGUUUUGACGUUACCGACAGAAUAAGCACCGGCUAACUCUGUGCCAGCAGCCGCGGUAAUACAGAGGGUGCAAGCGUUAAUCGGAAUUACUGGGCGUAAGGCGCGCGUAGGUGGUUUGUUAAGUUGAAUGUGAAAGCCCCGGGCUCAACCUGGGAACUGCAUCCAAAACUGGCAAGCUAGAGUACGGUAGAGGGUGGUGGAAUUUCCUGUGUAGCGGUGAAAUGCGUAGAUAUAGGAAGGAACACCAGUGGCGAAGGCGACCACCUGGACUGAUACUGACACUGAGGUGCGAAAGCGUGGGGAGCAAACAGGAUUAGAUA